GGGGAUGUGGCUCAGUGAUAGAGCGCUCGCCACGUACGUGCGAGACUCUGGGUUCGAUCCUCAGCACCACA
rnacentral:tRNA from 1 species